rnacentral:lncRNA from 1 species
UGGCUGGAGGUUAGUUUAAAACGGGACUUGAUACUGAUUCGGGUUGGCCAAGGCGCAGGCUCGUAUUGAUCUAUGAAGUUCAUGGACCACAAAGAUCAAAAAUGGAUUCGGUUGCAUUUCUGAACUUGGAAAUUCCUAUUACAGCAAGGUAUAUCAAAACCACCUAGAAGAGGUGGAGUCUCCUAACAAUGAUCCUACCUAUUUGGAAUUUUUUGUUUUUAUUUUUUCUAUCAAUUCCGUUUUGUACCGAGACUAAGGUGGAGUUUGUUUUUUUGACUUUAUUUUAAAUAUAAUUUUAAUGGUUAAUAGUGUUAAAUAUUAGAUUGUUUUUUUUUUUUUAAUAUUUUAUUUCAAUUAAACAUUAAAAAGUAAGGUAAAACAGACAAAAUAUUUUUUCUAUUUUGAAAAAGUUAAAUAUUUUGGUUUUUUCUAUUUAACAAAAAAAUAUAUAAUAAAUCAUGAAAAAAUAGAAAAACAAACAAUCUAAAGUUUGAAAGCAAAUUAUUUCUAGAAAAAAAUUAAAAAAAAAAAAAUCCUCUAAAUCACAUGUAAGAAUGAAUGCACCAAUACUUUAUCAAUAAGUAAAUAAAUGUGAUUCACAAAUGAAUGUAAUAACAUUUCCCAAUCAAGAAUUAUAUGAAUGUCUAACUACACAAUUCACAAACUUAAAUAUUCUUUACUUCCAAUAAAAACAAAGCUGGAAAUUAUCAAACUUUUUCAAGGAGUACACAAUCAAACUUUAGCUCAAAUUCUUUAAAAACAUACUUAUUAAAAUAUGGUAAUUUUUUUUUAGCAAAGAUAAACACAAAAAAAAUUAACUAAUGAAGAUAUAGAGAGAAUAAAGUAAUGACGCUAAGAUUUAAUGUGAAAAAAAUAUCAAUAGAGAUAAAAAAUCAUAAACCUAUAUAAGCAAUCAAGAGCAUUUACUACGAAGAAAAACUAACUCAAUAUAAAGUUUUACCUAACUCAAGUCUACAUAUCCUUCUCGAACUACUUGAUCAACACCUUCCAACUUCAACUUCACACAUUUUUCUUCUGAAAUACACUUGAAGUCCACACCAAACUUGAUCUUAGUUUUUUCUUGAACCCGCAUAAGAAGAAAAUAGGUUUUCAUUCGAACCCAAAUCAACAAGAACACGAGAUGAAUGGAAGAAAUGAAUCAACCAUUUCUCAAAAAGCUCAAUCAAAAAACUGAUUUGGAAAUCAAAGUAAUGAGGACUUUCUUGGCAACCAAACCCUUUCAAUUUGGAUGGGAGAGAGAGAGAGCUCAAAGGGAGUGAGAAAAACGGUUAUUGAUGUUCUCAACUCCCUAAAAUAGAAACAUUUGUUUAAAUAAGUUGAAGAAUCCUUAAUGCAAUGAUGGAAAAAUGAUUCAACAACAAAUAAAUUGAUCCUACAUAAAUCUGGAUUGAUCUUGGAACAUGACACAAAAAUACUUAGCCAAAAAAAUGUUUCCCCAAGUCAUUGAAAGCUUCUUUAGAAUAUUUUCGUUAAUUUUAAAAACUUGGUUGAUUUAAUUUCAUCAAUAUCACAACUUCAACUACAUACCUUAACCUCUAAACACUUAGAAUAAGUAGUUCAAGGAAGGAUUUGAUAGACCCCAAUUGAAAGAAUAUUUAGAAGUUUUUGACCUAAAAUUGCCAAUCUAUGUAAAACACUCACAGGUCUGUUAAGAGAUUUUCAUCCUUAAGGUUUUUAUAUUAUCUUUUAGAUUUUAUUUUAUUUGAUCCUUUUGUUACAAAAUAACUAUUUGUAACAGUCUUAUUUCAAAAUUAGAUAAGUGAUUGAACUAAAAAUAUUAUUCAUUGGUGGUUCAAUGGUUAGGUCAAUGUUUGAAACACAUUUGAAAGAAUAUAUAUAUAUAUAUAUAUAUAUAUAUAUAUAUAUAUAUAUAUAUAUAUACUCUCAAAAUUUUAAUAAUAUUUUAUUUUUAUAUUUGAUGUUGUUAAAUUAAAUAAUAAAAAUAAAAAUAAAAAUAUUAAUAUUUUUUAAUUUUAUUAAAUAAAACAUGUAUAAUAUUUAAGUGUAAAAAUAUAUUUAAUAUGAAAGAAAAAAUAUAAUUUUUAAUUUUAUCUACAUUUCAAAGGUUAUAUAUCUUAUUAUUUUAUAAUUUUUAAAAAUUAUUAUAUUAUUUAACUUGUAAUAUUUUCAUACUUAUCAUUAUAAAAUUAAAUGUGAAGGUAAACAUAUAUGUUUGUAUAUAUAUAUAGACACGCCUAUGUAUGUGCGUGUGUUAUAUUUUAUAGCAAUAUCAAAUAAAAGUGAUCUCAUAGCUCAAUGGUUCAAUUAUCUUGUGGCUUGAGUCUUCCUAACGCAAAAGUUCUUUUUUGCACCUUAUAAGCAGUCCCAUGUAUAAGAAUAUGAAGUUGAUAGAUUGUAUAAACACGUUACAACAUAUAUAAGCCUAACAAGUUGGUGCAGUGGUAGGUUGCUAGCAUUAUUGGGCCAAAAGGUGCAACUACCCAUUAUCAUCUUAUGUUAAAUAAGAGUUGAUUGAUUAUUAGAGAACCGAUCAAUCUGCCCAGCUCGAAUGGUUCAACACCAGCCUAACUCAUAAGCUACUCAACUAAGCCAAUCGAAUAGGAGAGGUCGACAGUCUAGUCGAUACAGUGCAGUUUUUGAAACUUUAAUAUGUACAAAUAACUUCUAACAAGCUUGAGAUCCUUUCUUCUCUACUUGAGAGAAUGUCUCAUGUUGAUUUCAUGCAUUCUGCAUUCAAUGACUUCAAAUAGUAGUGUCAUUUUCUCUUACUUUCUAUUGUCAGCUAGCAGACACACAACUCCCCUUCUGAUUUUGGGGGUUGUGGUGAAGAGAUAUCGAUGGCUUUGGCGCUUGUUGAAGGGGCUGCUCUGGGAGCAGGAAUACGGAGUUUGCUAAGGGCGGUCAUAAAAGCAAGUAAAAAGUUAGCCGGGUUCGACUGCAUCCUCAAAAAACUCGAAGCCAUUUAUCCAAGUGAUGGAAAGGUUGAACCACGAAUAGGAUCGUCCAAGGAAGGAAAUGAAGAAGUUGAUCCAAAUCUUACAAGAUGGAGAGAAGCUAAUCCAAGACUGCUCUCGCUGCUACUGCUACCAGAGGAUGGGGUAUGCCAAUAAAAUUAAAGCCUUCGAUGCCUAUCUUCUUAGAUUGUUUCAGGUGGAUGUGCAAGUCCAACUCACUAGCAGAUUCUGGCCAUGCUCAAAUCAAAUAGAUUCAGUUGGAAUAACAGCUAACAGAGGGGUUUCGGAUGAAUAUGAUAACCUGGGUUCUUGCAACGCUCCUGGUCCACCGGAAUUUAUGAUGGGAUUAGAUGUGCCUCUCAAAGAAUUGAAGAGGCGGCUGUGUGAGGAUGGGAAAUCAAGGAUUGUGAUCAGGGCUCCUAGAGGAUGUGGGAAAACCACUUUGGCUAAAGGGCUUUGUCUCGACAAUCAAGUCAAAGGUAUUCAUACAAAAUCCUUUUUUUUUUGUUAUUAAUUUUUUAAUAUUACUUUUAGAUUGCUUCAAAUACAUUCAUUUCGCUAUUUUAUCUCCUACUUAAUUUUUUUAUAAAUAAAAAGGACAAUAUAUUAACAGUGCUUAAUUUUUUUUAAAAUCAUACUUAUAUAAUAAUAUCAAAUAAAUUAUAAUAAAAAAAUAAAGAAUUUUAAAAUUUAUUUCUAGCAUACCCUUUUAUCUUUUUGUUAAUUUAAAAAAAAACUAUAAUAAAUAAAAUUUAAAGAUAAAUUAUAAUAAUGAAUAUAAAAUACAAAAUCAGUCAACAAAUUUAAAAAAAAAAAAUUAAAUUACAGUAAAACUAAUAUAAAAUAAUAGUCUUGGAAUAAAACAAAAUCAUUGUUUUAAUGGGAUCAUAAAUGAAUAAUUUAUUGAUUUAUAGAUAAAUAAAUAUUUAUUAAUUUAUGAAUAGUACCAAAUAAAGCUUUAUCUAAUAUACAAAAGUAUAUAUCAUGAUUCUUCUACCAAUAAAUACAUGUAUUGUACGAUGAAUAUGAAAAAAUGGGUCAUUAUCUGUGCAACUUAUAUUUGCAAAUGCCAUGUUAAGAAGCAUGUAUGACUAGUGCAAAUACACCUUUUUUUAUCAUUGCUUAUUACGAUACUUAUGUAUGAUUUGUGGAUCUAAAAACAAUUAAUAUAGUAAAAAGUUAAUACAUAAAAGCUUUAGAAAUUUAGAAAAAGAAGAUAAGGUUAUUAAUAGUAGAAGAUAGAAAGACUCACCCCUUAUACUAAAAUUUCGGGAUGUAUAUGAUCUGAAAUAACCUAGACACCUUUCCGCACUCAAACCCAUGUAACAUAGGAAUUACCUGUUUCUCCUAUUUUUGAACAGAAUAUUUUAAGCACAUUUUGUAUGCCACGGUAUCAAAACGGCCCAACCUAAUUGCCAUCAUUAAGAAACUACUUUGGGACAAGGAUGAACAAGUGCCAGAGUUCCGAAAUGAGGAAGAUGCAGUCAAUCAAAUGGAACUGAAACCGAAGAGGAAAGCAGAAUCUGGUGCUAUACUGUUGGUCCUAGAUGAUGUUUGGUGUGGAUCAGAAUCCCUCUUAGCCAAGUUCAAGUUCCAGAUAUCAGAAUCCAAGGUUCUGGUUACAUCAAGAAAUGAAUUUCCAGAAUUUGGCUCUACAUAUAACCUGGAAUUGUGGAAUAAGGAAGAUACCAUGGUUCUUUUUCGUCAUUCAGCAACCCCGAGCAUGGAAACUGUUAUUUCACACACAGUAAUGAUCUUGUGACGAAGGUGGUUUGUCACUCUACAUUGCACGUAUACUUCAUCUAUAUGCAUUCAUUUGUUUUCUCUCCAAACCACAAGUGAUUUCAUUUGUUAGUAGUGCUCAACUGCAGUCUGCAGACAGUGAGGCACUGCAAGAGACUUCCACUGGUCCUGGAAGUGUUGGCAGAUCACUCCAUGGGCAGCCUGUAGAGAUCUGGAGAAGCCGACUGAUGAAAUUAUACGAAGGUCAAUCCAUUGUCGAUUCUGAAACUGAUCUGCGUAAAUGUCUUCAAAGUAGCUUAGACGCCCUAAAUGACGAGGAUGUUAUGCAGAAGGAGUGUUUUAUGGACUUCACCAGGAAUGAUGCAAGCGAGAUUGAUGGAUGCUACAGCGGUGCCUUUGUGAUGUAGCAUGCCUUUUUUGCACUUUCCCUUAUUUCCUCUCAAGUUUGCUUUCUUCCUCUGGGUUUUCCUCUCUAUUUCUUCAUAUUUACAGUGUGCUAUUUUUUUUUUUUUUAAAUUUCAAAUAAAUUUUAAUAAACACUAAUAAUUAAAUAUAAAGAAUUGAAUUAUUAAGUUGUCUGUUUGAAUACUUCUUAUUUUUUAUUUAAAAAAAUAUAAAAUGAUAAUAGCUCCAUAUAAAAGGGAAGAAUUUUUUGAGACUUGACUUUAAAAAAUUUAACACUUACAAUAUUCUAUAUAGAUGUUACAAUUAUUUUUUUUACUUUUAUAACUAAAAAUAAAUUUUUUUAUUUUAAAAAUAAAAAAUAAUAGUACUUUCUAUAUAAAACAGAGGAAUUUUAGUAACAUAAAAGAUUAAAAAAUUCAAGCUAUUGAAUUUUUUUUAUUAUAGUAAAUUUUAAGGCUUGAAAAUGUAAUUUUUAAAGGUAUAUGAUAAUUUUUGUAUAAAAAAUCCUUCUUUUUAUUUUAAAAAUAAAAGUAAAAAACGAAAAGUAAGAUUCUAUUUGAAAAGUGUUUUUAAAUGUUUUAUGAUUUUUUUUUAAAACAAAAGUUGAGAAUUUGAAAUAUUUUUAAUUUAUUUUUUAUGUUUUUAAAUAUAUUAUAAAGAUAAUUUUAAUAUGUUGAAUUCCGUACAUUUUCUUUGGACUAAAAGUCUAGAAAAGUUAUGAAUUAGAAUAAAUAUAGAUAAUUUUUUAUAUUUUAGAAAUGGUGUUGGUGGUAUCAUUCAAUAAAAUAAAUAAUUAUUAAUAUUAAUUAUAAAAGGAAAGAAGAAUUUAUAACAUAUCAAAUUAAUUAACAAAAAUAUUUAAAAUGUUGAAAAGAGAGUUUUUGAUUUUAUUAAAAAGUUUAUCAGAAAAUUCAAAUAAUAUUUGUAAUUUUUUUAAAAAAAAAAUAGUAAAAAAAAAUCUUGUUAAAACAUUUUUAAUAAUUUUCAAAAAUGUUUUUUGUAGAGAAAAUUUUAAAAUAAUUUAUAAUUUCACUAAUAAAUUUAUUAGAUUUUUUUUUUGAAAUAACUAAGGCUUGAUAGUUAUAAAAUUUUAAUUUAAAAGUUGUGAAUGAAUAUAAAGUUAUUGUUAAAACUUAAGAUAAAAAAUAUAUUUGAUAAAAUAUCAAAUAUUUAAAUAAAAUUAAAAUUUAUCAAUAAUUAAAUAAUAUAUAUUGAAUAAUGUGUAAUUAUUUUCAAAUUAGCAAAUAUUUUAUUAAACAUAAAAGUCAAAACAUUUAAAAAAUAUCAAAAUCAAACAAAACCAACAAAAACAUAUUAUUAAAUAAAAAAAUUAUAAAAAAUUUAUUUUAUAAUAAAUUUAAUUUUAUAAAUAUUAAAUAAAAUUUUAAAAAACAUUUUAUAAAAUCUAUUUGAUAUUCAUACUUAUCUAAUUUUUUUUUACACACAAAAUUAAUUUCUUAGAGGGGCAAAUUUGCAUUUUUACUUUUUUUUUUUAAUAUUAUAAAAUUUCUAAAUAAAUAUAAGAAAAGUUUUAUUUUUUGAAAAUUUGAGGGAGUAAUGUGUCAUUGUGUCCCCCACUAAGAGUAUGGCGUCCGCCCCUCAUAAGUUGUACGGAUAAUGCAUACUAGAAGUCUAGAAUAUUGAUUUAAGGAAGAGCAUGAGUGAAGCAGUAGGUAAAGGGUUUGCCUUCUCAUUUCUCAAGUCUGCAUAAAGUCCACCACAGUGGAUUCCCAAAAUUUCCAUGAAGUACAGUGGAAACUCCUUGGCUACCUUCAAGUUCCAGAGCUCACUAGCCAAAACACAGUAGGAGAAGGGAGAAACCAACGUCUGAUUUCGAAUCUGUAUGUUGUAAUAUUGUUUUGUUUUGAGGGGAAUUUAAAACUAGGGCUUAGAUUGGAUCUUGUUUUCUAUUCAAGUAUCUUGAUUUCUUCUGUUUCCUACAACUUUUCUCCUCUAGCAAACACAAAACUCCUUCUAAUUUUGGGGGUUGUGGUGAGGAGAUACUGAUGGCUUUGGAGCUUGUUGGAGGGGCUGCGUUGGGAGCAGUGUUUGAGAAGUUGUUCGCGGCGGUUGAAGAUGCAAGGACUAAGGCAACCAAGUUCUACUCCAGCCUCAAAAAACUCGAAGAGACACUCAAAUCCAUAAAUCCAAGUAUCCUAGAGAUGAAAAGGAUGAACGACCAGUUGGAUCGUCCAAAGGAGGAAAUGGAGAAGUUGAUCCAAAUCUUAAAAGAUGGGGAGAAGCUAAUCCACAAGUGCUCCAAGGUCUCUUGUCGCAACUACUUCAAGAAGUGGAGGUACGCCAAUGAAAUCGAGGCCUUGGAGGACUCUCUUCGUAAAAUUUUUCAGGUGGAAUUGCAAGCCCAACUCAGUAGGAACAACAUGCAGAUUCUGGUCCUGCUCAAAUCAAAUAGAUUCAGUUGGAGUAACAAAGGGGUUUCCGUUAAAUAUGAAAGUUUGGGUUCCUGUGAGGCUACUGAUCCGCCGGCUUUUAUGGUGGGACUAGAUGUGCCUCUCAAAGAAUUGAAGAGGUGGCUGUUUACGGAUGGGGAAUCAAGGAUUGUGGUGUCGGCUCCUGGAGGAUGUGGGAAAACCACUUUGGCUAAAAGGCUUUGUCACGACCAACAAGUCAAGGGUAUUCCUACAAAAUCUUGCUUUCUUUUCUUUCCUUCAUGUUAGUAAACCAAAUACGAAAUAUUCCAUGCUAUACAAGUGAAAUUCAUCCAAACAACUUCUUUUUUGGUCUAAUGAAAUAUUGUAUGAGCUCAUUGCUAAAUCACUUCUUUCUACCAUUUUGAACAGAAUAUUUUCAGCACAUUUUCUAUGUCACGGUGUCAAAAACAUUCAACCUAAUUGGCAUCAUCAAGAAACUAUUUUGGCAUAGUGAUGAACAAGUGCCGGGGUUUCAAAAUGAGGAAGAUGCAGUCAACCAAUUGGAACUAAUGCUGAAGAGGAAAGUAGAAUCUGGUCGUAUACUGUUGGUCCUAGAUGACGUUUGGUCUGGGUCGGAAUCUUUCCUAACCAAGUUUAACUUCCAAAUAUCGGGAUGCAAGGUUCUGAUUACAUCUAGAAAUGAAUUUCCAAAAUUUGGUUCUACAUAUAACUUGAAAUUGUUGAGUGAAGAAGAUGCCAAGACUCUUUUCCGUCACUCAGCAAUCCCUGAGGAUGGGAGUGGUUCUUCCAUGCCCGGUGAAGACCUUGUAAAUACGGUGGUUUCUCACUCUACAUUAAUUUAUCACACCUGCAUUCAUUUUUGUUUCCCUGCAAACCAGAACUAAUCUUAUUUGGUGCUGGCGCUGAACUGCAGAUAGUGAGGCGCUGCAAGGGAUUUCCACUGGCCCUGGAAGUGGUUGGCAGAUCGCUCCAUGGGCAGCCUGUAGAGAUCUGGAGAAGCACACUGAUGAAAUUAUCUGAAGGUGAAUCCAUUGUCAAUUCUGAAGAUGAGCUGCGUAAUUGUCUUCAGAGUAGCUUAGAUGCCCUUGCUGACAAGGAUAUUAUGCUGAAGGAGUGUUUUAUGGACUUGGGCUCAUUUCCUGAAGACCAAAAAAUCCCUGCCACUGCUCUUAUAGAUAUGUGGGCGGAAUUGCACAAACUAGAUAAAGACGGCAUUUAUGCCGUUAUCAACCUUCAGAAUCUCUGCUCUCAGAAUCUGCUUAAUCUUGUGGUCACAAGGUACACAGGCUUGCUAUUUGUCUUUAAAGUAAUAACCUUUUUUCCUUUUUCUCUUGAUAAUCUUAUAAUUUUGUGUAUCAGCAUUUUAUACAAUUAGUAAUGUUCUAUUACAAUCACUAAGAGAAAAGAAAUCUAUUAACGCUAGCAUUGAAGGGGGAACUCCUGCUAAUUUCUGCAAUUUUUACCCCAUUUGUUUUGGAGGUGGUCAAAUCAAAUGAGCACAAAAACAAAAUAAGACUUAUAUUUCUUGAUUUGCAAUUAUAUUCUUCAAUCCAUAAUAUCACUCUAACCAAUGUCUGCGGGUUGUCCAGGAAUGAUGCAAAUGAGAUUGGUUGGUGCUACAAGGAUGCCUUUGUCAUGCAGCAUGAUCUUCUCAGGGAUCUAGCCAUUUAUCAGAGCAACCAGGAGCCCAUAGAAAAGAGGAAAAGACUAAUCGUGGACUUGACAGGAAACAGACUCCCCGAGUGGUGGACUAAAGAAAAUCAGCCCCAAUUAAGUGCUCGUCUUGUGUCCAUCUCCACAGGUCCCCCCUCUCUCUCUCUUUCUAUCUCUCAUAAUUGGAAUCUAAUAUUUCAUACAGUAUUUGGCAUUACUUCUUUCCCUACCUUCUGACACUUUAUAGGAUAUUCUGUAGAUGAAAUGUUCUCCUCAAACUGGUGCAACAUGCAACUUCCUGAAGCUGAGGCUCUAAUACUGAACUUUAAUCAGACAGAAAAUAAAUACGAAUUGCCAGAGUUCAUGAAGCAAAUGGAUAAACUGAAGGUUCUAGUAGUAACAAAUUAUGGUUUCUGUGCUGCUGAAUUGACUAAUUUUUCAGUACUUGGUUCCUUAUCCAAUCUAAAGAGAAUCAGGUUAGAGCAAGUUUCAAUUCCAAGACUAUGCAACACGAGUAUGGAAUUGAAGAAUCUGGAAAAGCUAUCCUUAGUCAUGUGUCAUAAGAUUGGUCAGGCUUUUGCAAGUAGUACCAUCCAGAUCCCAGAAAUGUUACCAAACCUUAGGGAAAUCAACAUUGAUUACUGUAAUGACUUGGUGGAAUUACCAGAAGGGUUUUGUGACUUAGUCCAGCUGAAUAAGCUGAGCAUCAGCAACUGCCAUAAGCUGUCUGCACUGCCGGAAGGGAUAGGGAAGCUUGCAAAUCUGGAAGUGCUAAGGGUUAGUGCCUGUACAUUGGUGUCAAAAUUGCCAGACUCAAUGGGAAGCCUCCACAAGUUGAGCGUUCUUGAUAUAACUGGUUGUUUACGAAUAAGGAAAAUGCCGAAACAAAUAGGGGAGUUGCGUGGUCUAAGAGAGCUCCACAUGAGAAGGUGCCCAGGUUUGCGCGAGCUGCCACCAUCAGUGACGCUUCUCGUGGAUUUGGAGAGGGUAAUCUGCGAUGAAGAGACUGCCCAGCUGUGGGAAUGUUAUACGCACUUGCUCCCCAAUCUCACCCUAUCAGUGCCUGAAGAAAUUAUCAACUUGAAUUGGCUUUAAAAUACUGGUUUCUGAAAAACUUUCAUCCUCCAAAGUGUUGAACCGGACGCCUAAUUAUAUUCAAACAAUGUUCGACUUAUGAAAUCUAGUAACUUUCAUCGGCUGUUUGUCAUAUUUGGUUCGGGCUUCAAUCAAGGAAUGCAUUUUCCUGCACCCCGUCCUCAGUGCCAACUUUUGUUCACAUUAAGGGAAAUUUCGUGUGAACUUUUUUCACACUAAAAUUGAAUCCGGCUGGAGAUUGAUUGGUUUAAAGCGGGACUUGAUAUUGAUUAGGGUUGGCCAAGGCGCAGGCUUGUAUUGACCUAUGAAGUUCACUGACCACAAAGAUCGAAAAUGGAUUCGUUUGCAUUUCUUAACUUGGAAAUUCCUAUUACAGCAAGGCAUAUCAAAACCGCCUAGAAGAGGGGGAGUCUCCUAACAAUCAUUCCCCCUAUUUAGAAUUUUUUGUUUUUAUUUUUUCUAUCAAUUCUUUUACUAAGUGAUGUUUGUUUUUUUGACUUUUUGUUGAAAGUAAUUUAGUUUUACAAUUUAGGUUGUUUGUUUUUUUACUUUUUCAUAACUUAUUAUAAACUUUUUACUAAAUAGAAAAAAUUAAAAUAUGUAACUUUUUUCAAAUAGAAAAAAUAAUAUAUUGAUUUUUUUUAUUUUUUAAUACUUAAUAGAAAUAAAAUACUAUAAAAACAAAUAACCUAAUAUUUAACACUAUUAAAUAUUAAUGUUCUAUUUAGAAUUAAGUAAAAAAACAAACACCACCUAAAUAUUUCUUACAUACAUAACACUCUAUCAAUAAGUAAAAUAAAUGCGAAUCACGUAUUAAUGGAACAACAUUUUCCAAUCAAGAAUUAUAUUAAUGUUGGACUACACAAUUCACAAACUUAAAUAUUCUUUACUUUUGAUAAAAACAAAAUUGGAAAUUACCCAUCUUUUUCAAGGAAUAUACAAUCAAACUUUAGCUCAAAUUCUUUAUACAUAUACUUAUUAAAAUAUGAUAAUUUUUUUAGCAAAGAUAAAUACAAAGAAAAUGAACUAAUGAAGAGAUAGAAAAUAAAGUAAUGACACCAAAAUUUAAUAUGACAAAAUAUCAAUAAAGAUAAAAAACUAUAGGCCUACAAGAAAUCAAGAACAUCUACUACGAAGAAAAACUAACCCAGUACAAGGUUUUAUUUAAUUCAAGUCUACAUAUCCUGCUUGAACUACUUGAUCAACAUCUUCCAACUUCAACUUCACACCUUCUUCUUCUAAAACAUACUUGGAGUCCACACUAAACUCAAUCUUAAUUUUUUCUUGAAUCUUUAGAAGAAGAAAAUAGGUUAUCAUUCAAACCCAAAUCAACAAGAACACAAGAGAUGAAUGGAAGAAAUUAAUCAACCAUUUUUCAAAAAACUGACUUGGAAAUCAAAGGAGAAUUUUCUUGGCAACCAAACACUUCCAAUUUGGAUUAGACCUCAAAGGGAGUGAGAAAAAUAGUUGUUGGUGUUCUCCACUCCCUAAAAUAGAAAUAUUUAUUUAAAUAAGUUGAAGUAUUCCUGAUCCAAUGACUGAAGAAUGAUUCAACAAAAAAUAAAUUGAUCCUACAUAAAUUUGGAUCGAUCUUGGAACAUGGCACAAAAAUACUUAUCCAAAAAAAUGUUUGCCCAAGUCUCCCAAAGCUUCUUUAAAAGAUUUUCAUUAAUUUGAAAAACUUUGUUGGUUUAAUUUCAUCCAUAUCACAACCCCGACUACAUACCUUAACCUCUAAACACUUACAAUAACUAGUUCAAUGAAGGAUUUGAUAGACCUGGGAGAAUACUUAGAAGUUUUCACCUAAAAUUGUCAAUCUAAGUAAAACAAUCACAUGUAUGUUAAGAGAUUUUCAUCCUUAAGGUUUAUAUAUUUUCGUUUAGAUUUUAUUUUAUUUGAUCCUUUGUGUUACAAAACAAUUAUUUGUAAUGGUCUUAUUUCAAAAUUAGAUAAAUGAUUGAAUAGGAAACAUUAUUCAUUGAUGGUUUAAUGGUUAGAUCAUUGUUUGAAUCACAAUCAAAAGAAUAUAUAUAAUCUAAUUUUUUUUAAUAAUAUUUCAUUUUUAUAUUAGAUGUUGUUAAAUUAAAUGAUAAAAAUAAAGUAAAUGCAUUAAUAUUUUUAAUUUUAUUAAAUAAAACAUGUAUGAUAUUUAAGUGUAAAAAUAUAUUUAAGAUGAAAGAAAAGUUAUAAUUUUUAAUUUUAUCUACAUUUCAAAAGUUAUAUAUCUUAUUAUUUUAUAAUUUUUAGAAAUUAGUUUAUUAUUUAACUUAUAUUAUUUUCAUACUUACCAUUAUAAAAUUAAAUGUGAAGGUAAAUAUUUAUGUUUGUUUAUAUAUAUAGCGUAUGUAUGUGUGUGUAUUAUAUUUUAUAGCAAUAUCUAAUAAAGUGAUCUCAUAGUUCAAUGGUUCAAUUAUCUCGUGGCUCGAGUCUUGCUAACGCAAAAAAAAAGAAAAAAAAUUCGCACCUUAUAAGCAAUCUCAUGCAUAAGAUUAUGAAAUUGAUAGGUUGUAUAGACACAUUACAACAAAUAUAAGCAGUGGUAGGUUGCUAGCAUUAUUGGGCCAAAAGGUGCAAUUACACAUUAUCAUUUUGGGUCAAAUAAGACUUGAUUGAUUCUUAGAGAACAGACCAAUCUGUCUAGUUCGAACAAUUUAACACUACUUUAACUCAUAAGCUACUCAAUUAAGCUAAUCGAAUUGGAUAGGUCAACGGUCUAGUCGUUUCAGUGCAAUUUUUAAAACCUUAAUAUGCACGAAUAACUUUUAAUCUCUAUUUGAGAAAAAUAGAAUAUCAUGUUAAUUUCAUGACUUCUGAAUUCAAUGGGAUGUUGUGGUUCAAACAUAUUACGAUGGUAAUGAUGCUUCUCGUAUUUAUAAACUUAUUGUUAGGAUUAUGUGUAAAUGAAUAUAAGAAAGCAAAUAUAAUGGAGGAGCAAUUGCAUAUAAAAGUAGAUAGAGAUAACGAAUAGAAAAAUGCAAGCAUGGGCCUUUAUAGUAGUUUAAUGCAACCCAACCUGCAUCCACUCUCCUCAAGCUUCAACAUUAAGUGUUCCGCUAACAAUACUUCCAACCAAAGCCUUCAAGUUUUGCCCUUGGAUUGUGGCUUUAAGGGAUCCUUUAUGACCAUAAGCCUUUUAAAACCAAAGUCUCCAAACUAUCUCCCUUGGAUUAUGGUUCCAAUGAACCCUCUCAAAAGAUACCCUACUCUUGAGUCCUCCAAUGAUCCUACAAUAGAUAUCCUCACAAGGUAUACAAAUGAAACAUAAAUAAGAUCCUAGUUAAUAGUUUUGGCUUAAAUUGGAUACAAAAAAACUAGGAUUGAGAGGUUUCCUAAGACGAAAUGUAAGUUUUGAAGCAAAAUGCAAUCAAACACAUAACUCCUCAUUCAAUACAAGAAGUUUAGGGCCUUUAAACAUGGGUUAGAAGCCUAAACUUGUCGUUGGAAAAAUUUGGGGUUGAUUGAUCAUCCAACUAGUUAAAUCUUACUACUAGCCAUUGAAGAAUUGUAGGUGAUCAUUAGGUCAUAGGAGUUUAACCAGUUAAUCUACCAAUUCAAUCCAUCCUUGACUAAUUGAGGCUCAAACUUAAUCAAUUAAAAUUGCUUUCUAGACCUUAGGAGGACAUUUGGCCCCCUUGACGAGUUGAACCAUUCCGACUCAACCAAUUCCUAUAUAUCUCAAUCGAUUUGAUGAAAAUGCAAGUUUUGAUAUCAAAAUGAGGUUGAGAAACAACAAUUAUUAACUUCCAUUUGUUGGGAUUUUUAAACAAAAUUUCGAAGAAGCUAUAAUAUUAUUUAAAAGCACUAACUACAAUUUGGAAUUAAUGGAAAUUAUACAAAAAUAAAAUAAAAUUAAAACUUGAAAAUAUGAGAAAUUUGAGGAGAAUACUAAGAGUGUGAGGUUUGUACCCUCCUAAUUUUGUACUUUUGUGAAUUUUUUUUUUAAAAUUCUACUUGCAAUAGCUAUAAUAUUAUAUAAAAAUACUAGUUACACUUAAGAUUAAUGGAAAUUAUGCACACAAAAAUUAAAACUUAAAAAUACUUAAAAAUUGAGAAGGGCAUGAAAAAUGUGAAAAUUUUCACUUUUUGGAAAUUUUAAAAUUCUUUUCCAUUUCCAAUAAUAUUAUUUAAAAAACUAAUCACACUUACAAUUGAUGAAAUUAUGCACAAAAAUUUAAAAUUUGGAAAUACUUAAAAAUUGGGGAAGCUUCAUGCCCUCUAAAUUUUGUAAUUUUUUUAAUUUGAUUUUUUUUUUCACUUCAAAUGGCUAUGAUAUUAUUUAUGCACACUAAUUACGCUUAACAUUGAUGGAAUUUAUGAAAAUAAAUUAAAAGGUUAAAAUACUUAGAAGUUCAUUAGGGCAUGAAAAAUGUGGAGAAUCCUCUUUUAAUUUUAAUUUCCAAAAUUUUCAACUUUUUUAAUUAAUUUUUUUUCCACUUCUAGUAGCUCUAAUAUUACUUAGGCAUCCUAAUCACAAUGAUCAUAACUUUUUCACUUGGUACUUUUUAUACCCUUCAAAUUUUACAUGUUUGUCUUAUUUAAAAAAAAAAAAUUCUUCAAAAAAUACUUUCAAUAUUUCAUCCAAUAUUCUCCAUAAAAAAUGGAAAUUAUAAUAAAAAAAUUUAAUAAUAUAAUUUUCGGUUAUUAUUUGAUAGAUUACCAAUUUAAUUUUUUAACAAUAAACAUUUAUUUUAAUUUAUUUAUAAAUGAUUUUUUUUCACAAAGUCUUAAUGUUAUAAUUUUAUACCAUAUAAUUAGUAGCAACUUUGAUUUUCUUACACAAAAUUUUUAUUUUUACAAAACUUUAAUUUGUUUACAACUUUUAUAAAAGUACUUAUUAAAUGAUAUAAUUGGAUGUUGCAAACAUAUCUUAAAUGUUAUGUGCAUGGAAUUCGUACCAUCUGGUUGGAGGUAUCAGGUAUGGUCAUAAAAAGUACAUCUGAGUUAUGACCCACAUGGAAAUGUUAUGGUAAUAAAAACUACAUUAAGGGUUUUUUUCCCCAAUUUGUUGUAGAUGUCAAAAAAUAAAUAAAUAAAUAAAAUAAAAUAAAAAAGCCAGCCAUCAACGGCUCCAUAGUCUCUCGAGGCAUUGUAAGCAGCAUUGAGCGUUCACAUUAGAGAGAGAAACAAAAUAUGAGGAAAAACCUUCAUAAUUUAUUCAUUUGUCAAUGGAGCCUACACAAGUCAAUGGAUUCCCAAAAUUUGGACGAAGAAAAGUGGAAACUUCGUGUGUACCUUCAGGCUCAAGAUGCGUCAUUUCUGGUCACUCACUCUCCAAAACACGCAAAGAAAAGGGGGGAAAGCAGAGUGUGGUUUCGAAGCUGUUAUGUCGCACCGAGUAAUGAUCUUGUGAGGAAGGGGGUUUGUCACUCUACAUUAAUAUAUCGCACCUGCAUCUAUACUUCAUCUAUAUGCAUUCAUUUUUGUUUCUCUCCAAACCACAAGUGAUUUCAUUUGUUAGUUCUGGUGCUCAGGCGCUCAACCGCAGAUAGUGAGACACUGCAAGAGACUUCCACUGGCCCUGGAAGUGGUUGGCAGAUCACUCCAUGGGCAGCCUGUAGAGGUCUGGAGAAGCCGACUGAUGAAACUAUCUGAAGGUCAAUCCGUUGUCGAUUCUGAAGCUGAUCUGCGUAAAUGUCUCCAGAGUAGCUUAGACGCCCUAAAUGACGAGGAUGUUAUGCUGAAGGAGUGUUUUAUGGACUUGGGCUCCUUUCCUCAAGACCAGAAAAUCCCUGCCACUGCUCUUAUAGAUAAAGAUGGGGUUGAUGCCAUUGCCAACCUUCAAAAACUCUCCUCCUGGAGUCUGCUUAAUCUUGUGGUCACGAGGUACACAGACUUGCUAUUUGUAUUUAAAUUAAAUGAUCGUUUUUCUUGUAAUUAGUUUGUUCACAGAAUGGUAUCCCAUAAAUAAUCUAAUAAUUUUGUCUAUCAACACUAGCAUGGGAGGGCUCCAAGUUCCAACUGCUUUUUUUUUUUUUUUUUUUCAAUUUCAAAUAAGUUUUAAUAAGCACUAAUAAUUAAAGACAAAGAAUUGAAUUAUUAAGUUGUCUUUUUGAAUACUUCUUAUUUUUUAUUUUUAAAAAUAAAAAAUGAUAAUAGCUCCACAAAAAAGGGGAGAAUUUUUUUAGACUUAAGACUUCAAAAAAACAAUAAUUUCAAAAGCUACUUUAAGACUUAUAAUAUUCUAUAAAGAUGUUACAACUAUUUUUUACUUUUAUAACAAAAAACGGAGAUUUUUUUUAUUUUAAAAAUAAAAAAUAAUAGUACUUUCUACAUAAAACAGAGGAAUUUUUAGAAACAUAAAAGAUUAAAAAAUUCAAGCUAUUGAAUUUUUUUUUAUUAUAUUAAAUUUUAAGGUUUGGAAGGGUAAUUUUUAAAGGUAUAUAUGGUAAGUUUUUGUAUAAAAAUUCCUUCUUUUUAUUUAAAAAAAUAAAAACAGAAAAUGGAAAUAAGAAGAUAAAGGCAAACUACAGCGUUUGCCUUCUCGUUUCUCAAGUCGACGUAAAGUCAAUCACAGCAGAUACCCGAAAUUUCCAUGAAGUACAGUGGAAACUCCUUGGCUACCUUCAAGUUCCAGAGCUCACUAGCCAAAACACAGUAGGAGAAGGGAGAAACCAACGUCUGAUUUCGAAUCUAUAUGUUGUAAUAUUGUUUUGUUUUGAGGGGAAUUUAAAACUAGGACUCAGAUUGGCUCUUAUUUUCUAUUCAAGUAUCUUGAUUUCUUUUCUGUUUCCUACAACUUUUCUCAGCUAGCAAACACAAAACUCCUUAUUUUGGGGGUUGUGGUGAGGAGAUACUGAUGUCUGCGGAGCUUGUUGGAGGGUCUGCUUUGGGAGCAGGAUUUGGGAAGUUGAUCACGGCGGUUCUAGAUGCACGGAAGAAGAUAACUCAGUUCGACUCCAGCCUCAAAAAACUCGAAGAGAGACUCAAUUCCAUAACUCCAAGUAUCGUAGAGGUGAAAAAGUUCAUGGACCAGUCGAAUCAUCCAAGGGUGGAAUUGGAGAAGUUAAUCCAAAUCUUAAAAGAUGGGGAGAAGCUAAUCCACAAGUGCUCCGAGGUCUCUAGUUGCGACUACUUCAAUAAUUGGAGGUACGCCAAUAAAAUUAAGGCCUUGGAUGGCUCAAUUGAAAAAAAUUUUCAGGUGGAAAUGCAAGUCAUACAACUUUGGAGCACCACGGUCCUGCCCAAAUCAAAUAGAUUGAGUUUGAGUAACAGAGGGGUUUCCGAUAACUAUGAAAGUUUGGGUUCCUGUGAGGCUACUGAUCCGCCGGCUUUUAUGGUGGGACUAGAUGUGCCUCUCAAAGAAUUGAAGAGGCGGCUGUUUACGGAUGGGGAAUCAAGGAUUGUGGUGUCGGCUCCUGGAGGAUGUGGGAAAACCACUUUGGCUAAAAGGCUUUGUCACGACCAACAAGUCAAGGGUAUUCCUACAAAAUCUUGCUUUCUUUUCUUUCCCUUCAUGUUAGUAAACCAAAUAUGAAAUAUUCCAUGGUAUACAAGUGAAAUUCAUCCAAAAAUCUUUUUUGGUCUAAUGAAAUAUUGUAUGAACUCAUUGCUAAAUCACUUCUUUCUACCAUUUUGAACAGAAUAUUUUACGGACAUUUGCUAUGUCACGGUAUCAAAAACAUGCGACCUAAUUGGCAUCAUCAAGAAACUAUUUUGGCAUAAUGCUGAACGAGUGCAGGGGUUUCAAAGUGAGGAAGAUGCAGUCAACCAAUUGGAACUAAUGCUGAAGAGGAAAGUAGAAUCUGGUCGUAUACUGUUGGUCCUAGAUGACGUUUGGUCUGGGUCGAAAUCUGUCCCAGACAAGUUUAAGUUCCAAAUAUCGAAAUUCAAGGUUCUGGUUACAUCUAGAAAUGAAUUUCCAGGAUUUGGUUCUACAUAUAACUUGAAAUUGUUGAGUGAAGAAGAUGCCAAGACUCUUUUUUGUCACUCAGCAAUCCCUGAGGAUGGGAGCCGUUCUUCCAUGCCCAGUGAAGAACUUGUGAAUGGGGUGGUUUCUCACCCUACAUUAAUUUAUCACACCUGCAUUCCUUUUUGUUUCCCUGCAAACCAGAACUAAUUUUAUUUGGUGCUGGUGCUGAACUGCAGAUAGUGAGGCGCUGCAAGGGAUUUCCACUGGCCCUGGAAGUGGUUGGCAGAUCCCUCCAUGAGCAGCCUGUAGAGAUCUGGAGAAGCACACUGAUGAAAUUAUCUGAAGGUGAAUCCAUUGUCAAUUCUGAAGAUGAACUGCGUAAUUGUCUUCAAAGUAGCUUAGAUGCCCUUGAUGACAAGGAUAUUAUGCUGAAGGAGUGUUUUAUGGACUUGGGUUCAUUUCCUGAAGACCAAAAAAUCCCUGCCACUGCUCUUAUAGAUAUGUGGGCGGAAUUGCACAAUCUAGAUAAAGGCGGCAUUUAUGCCAUUUCCAACCUUCACAAACUCUGCUCUCGGAAUCUGCUUAAUCUUGUGGUCACAAGGUACACAGGCUUGCUAUUUGUCUUUAAAGCAGUAACUUUUUGUCUUUUUUGUCUUUAUAAUCUUAUAAUUUAGUCUACAUUUUAUGCAAUUAGUAAUGUUCUAUUACAAUCGCUAUAGAGAAAAGAAAUCUAUUAACGCUAGCAUUGAAGGGGGAUUCCAACUCCUGCUAAUUUCUGCAAUUUUUACCCCAUUUGUUUUGGAGAUGGUCAAAUCACAUGAGCACAAAAAUAAAAUAAGACUUAUAUUUCUUGAUUUGCAAUUAUAUUCUUCAAUCCAUAGUAUCACUCUAACCAAUUUCUGUAGGUCCUCCAGGAAUGAUGCAAAUGAGAUUGAUUGGUGCUACAAUGAUGCCUUUGUCAUGCAGCAUGAUCUUCUCAGGGAUCUAGCCAUUUAUCAGAGCGAACAGGAGCCCAUAGAAAAGAGGAAAAGACUAAUAGUGGACUUGACAGGAAACAGACUCCCCGAGUGGUGGACUAAAGAGAAGCAACCCCGAUCAAGUGCUCGUCUUGUGUCCAUCUCCACAGGUCCCCCUCUUAUCUCUUUCUAUUUCUCAUUAUUGGAAUCUAAUAUUUCAUACGGUAUUUGGCAUUACUUCUUUCCCUACCUUCUGACACUUUAUAUAGGAUAUUCUGUAGAUGAAAUGUUCUCCUCAAGCUGGUGUAGCAUGCAACUUCCUGAAGCUGAGGCUCUAAUACUGAACUUUAAUCAGACAGAAAAGAAAUACGAAUUGUCAGAGUUCAUGAAGCAAAUGGAUGAACUGAAGGUUCUAGUAGUAACAAAUUAUGGUUUCUGCACGGCUGAAUUGACUAAUUUUUCAGUACUUGGUUCCUUAUCCAAUCUAAAGAGAAUCAGGUUAGAGAAAGUUUCAAUUCCAACACUAUGCAAAACCAGUAUAGAAUUGAAGAAUCUGGAGAAGCUAUCCUUAGUUAUGUGUCAUAAGAUUGGUCUGGCUUUUGCAAGUAGUACCAUCCAGAUUCCAGAAAUGUUACCCAACCUUAGGGAAAUCAACAUUGAUUACUGUAAUGACUUGGUGGAAUUACCAGAAGGGUUUUGUGAUUUAAUCCAACUGAAUAAGCUGGGCAUCAGCAACUGCCAUAAGCUGUCUUCACUGCCGGAAGGAAUAGGGAAGCUUACAAAUCUGGAAGUGCUAAGGGUUAGUUCCUGUACAUUGGUGUCAAAAUUGCCAGACUCAAUGGGAAGCCUCCACAAGUUGAGGGUUCUUGAUAUAACUGGUUGUUUACUAAUAAGGAAAAUGCCGAAACAAAUAGGCGAGUUGCGCAGUCUAAGAGAGUUCCACAUGAGAAGGUGCCAGUGUUUGUGCGAGCUGCCAUUAUCAGUGACGGAUCUCGUGGAUUUGAAGAGGGUAAUCUGCGAUGAAGAGACUGCCCAGCUGUGGGAAUGUUUUACGCACUUGCUCCCCGAUCUCACUCUAUUAGUGCCUGAAGAAAUUAUCAACUUGAAUUGGCUUUAAAAUACUGGUUGUUGAGAUAUUAGGAAUGUUUUUCUUAUAUCAUUCUUUCCUUGUAUCAUUUAGUGUUGAGAUAUUCGAAAUGUUUAGAUAUUAGGAAAGUUGAGAUAUUAAGAAUAUUGAGAUAUUAGGAAAGUUGAGAUAUUAGGAUAUUAGUUGUUAUUUCCUUAUAUCAUUCUUUCAUUGUAUCAUUCUUUCUCAUUCUUAGAAUGGUGAUUACCCUCUAUAUAUACUCUGUACAUGAACAAAUGAAAGAAAGAAUGAAAAAACUACCAUUUAUCAAUUUGAAGAUGGUAUCAGAGCCAUGGAAUUGAAAUCCUGGAUAUUUUGUCGCUAUGGUAGUCCGACAACAGUCAACCAUCCUAAGACAAGCCCUAAUAUUAAUAAGUCAACCUUCAAAUGCACUCACUGCAAUAAGACUGAUCCCACCAGUUUGGAUAUCCCACAAUUUCAAAGCAAUGACUCUUGGUAUGACCAGGAAAACAAUGAGGAACCAAGGGUUUGAACCAUGGACCUUUAGAUCAUGUUUAGGCUAUCACCACUUUGUUAUUAAUGAUAAUAAUCGUAAUCAACGGAAGAAGGAUUCCAAGAAAACCUCGACUGCAACUGUUGCCGAAAUAAAAACAAAAGCUAAUGUUGCUAAGAAAGCCUCUGCAUUGGUAGCCGCUACAGAUUAUGGUGGUAAGUUUCUAAAUACUUUUACACCUAUUAUUAAUAGUGCAUGGAUAAUUGAUUCUGGUGCUAUAGAUCAUAUGACUUUUGAUUCCAGACAAGUUUCACCCCUUAGACCUUCUUCACAAAAAAUUGUUUUCACAGCUAAUGGUAACACAACCCCAGUCAUUGGGGAAGGAACCUUAACCCUUACUGAUACUUUGAAUUUGGAUUCUGUUUUAGUUGUUCCAUCUCUAGAUUACAAUCUUUGUCAGUUUCUCAAAUCACUACAGUCUUAUAUUGUAUUAUCAUUUUUUGGCCUGAAUUUUGUGUGAUUAAGGACAUCCAAACAAAAUAGACCAUUGGUUGUGGUAUUAAGUAGGGAAAACUCUAUUACUUGGACUUGCAGUUAAAAGAUUUAAAUAAGUUGCAACAAGCCUAGAUGGCAGAUGGAUCUGAUGAGGAGAAAAAAAAGUCUGAAAUUUGGUUGUGGCAUCGACGUCUGGGACAUGCUUCCUUUGGUUAUUUAAAAAAAUUGUUUUCUAAUUUGUUUGCAAAGAGUGAUAUUUUUUGUUUCCGUUGUGAUAUUUGUGAAUUAGCUAAAAGUCAUCGUGCUUCGUUUCCGUUAAUUUUGAAUAAAAGUCUGCUUCCUUUUAUAGUUAUACAUUCUGAUGUUUGGGGCUCAUCCAAAGUCCCAACUUUGAGUGGCUCACGUUGGUUUGUUACUUUUAUUGAUGAUUGUAUCAUAAUGACAUGGUUAUGCUUGAUGAAAACCAAAGAUGAAGUGAACUUGUUGUUUCAAAAAAUUCAUAAAAUGAUUGAAACUCGGUACAAUGCAAAUGUUCGGGUUUUACGUAGUGAUAAUGGUGGAGAAUAUUAGAGUUCUGAUCUUCAAAAGUAUUUGGAAGAACAUGACAUCAUUCAUUAGACUACUUGUUCUAAUACACCCCAGCAAAAUGGAGUCGCUAAACGGAAAAAUCGGCACUUGUUAGAGGUUGUUCGUGCUUCCUUGAUAGCAUCAAAAAUAUCGAUAUCUUAUUGGGGAGAAGCAAUCACAUCUGCCACAUACUUGAUCAAUCGGGUAUCUUCUAGCUCAAUUAACUUCCAAACACCUCUUCAAGCUCUUACUAAUGUCGUAGUUGUCCCAACCGUCCCAAAUCUACCUCCUCGUGUUUUUGGUUGCAUGGCAUUUGUGCAUCUACACAAACACCAACGCACCAAGUUAACUUCUCAUGCAUUACAAUGUGUGUUUGUUGGAUAUGCAUUGCACAAAAAGGGAUAUCGAUGUUACCAUCCUCCAACUCAACGAAUGUUUAUUACAAUGGAUGUGGUGUUUCAUGAAGAUUUGAUGUAUUUUUCAUCUAAGUCUGAACUUCAAGGGAAGUACCAUAAGGAAAUUCAGACUCUCGAUUAUGAUUAUCAUAUCUUUGAGGAGGAUGAAUCUAGACAAUCUAAACUAGUGAACCAGGAAGCGGGUGAGUUGGAUAUGAGUGGUCAACAAUUUGGGUCUGAAGAUGUCUUCACUGAAAUACCAAACCAAUCGUCGUCUGCUGAGGGUGUUCUUAAUUUGGAACCUGAUCCAUUCAUGAAACGGUUACCACACCGUCAUAAUAGAGGUAUUCCUAAACCCACAUAUGAACCUGAAUUUUCUACCAAAGUCAAAUAUCCCAUGAAUAAUUAUGUGUCUAACCAUCGUUUGUCUGAAUCAAAUAAGUCCUUUGUAAAUCAAUUAUCUACUGUGGCUAUUCCUAACAAUGUGCAAGAAGCCUUAGCUGAUCCAAAGUGGAAAGCAGUCAUGAAUGAAGAGAUGAAAUCAUUGCAGAAUAAUGAAACAUGAGAACUCGUAGAAUGUCCACCACAAAAGAAGCCAGUUGGGUGUUGUUGGAUCUAUACUGUGAAGUAUAAGGCAGAUGGUAGUAUUGAACGAUUUAAAGUAAGACUGGUAGCAAAAGGGUACACUCAAACUUAUGGAAUUGACUACACAGAGACAUUUUCACCUGUAACUAAGAUCAACACAGUUCGAGUAUUACUGUCUUUAGCUGCAAACCUAGAUUAGCCAUUACAACAGUUCGAUGUGAAAAAUGUCUUUCUGCAUGGCGAGUUAUCUGAAGAAGUAUAUAUGGAUCUUCCACCAAGAUGCAUGGUGUCAGAAAAACAAUGUCAGAAGGUGUGCAAAUUGAAGAAGUCAUUGUAUGGGUUGAAGCAAUCCCCGAGAGCAUGGUUUGGAAGGUUCACAAAAUCAAUGAGAGCUUUGGCUAUCGUCAAAGUAAUUCAGAUCACACUUUGUUCCUGAAAAAGCAACAUGAUAAGAUUACGACACUUAUUGUAUAUGUGGAUGGCAUGGUAGUUACAGGAAAUGAUCUUGAAGAAAGAAAAGUUUUGCAAAAUUAUCUAUUUAGAGAAUUUGAAAUGAAAGAUCUAAGUUUUCUGAAAUACUUUCUUGGGAUUGAAGUUUCUCGAUCAAGUGAAGGAAUUUUUCUGUCUCAAAGAAAGUAUGCCUUAAAUCUUUUAUAGGAGACUGGAAUGUCGGGAUGUCAACCUGUUAAUACACCAAUAGAAAAAGGUUUGAAAUUGUGUGUUGAGCCUAAUCAAGUAUCAACCGAUAAGGGAAAAUACCAGAGACUUGUGGGGAGAUUAAUGUACUUAGCUCAUAUAAGACCAGAUCUUGCUUAUGCAUUGAGUGUAGUGAGUCAAUACAUGCAUAAUCCUGGAGAGCAACAUAUGAAUGCAGUCAUGCGUAUUUUGAGGUAUUUGAAGAAUGCUCCUAGGAGGGGAAUUUUGUUCGCUAAAAAUAUUGAUCAUCAAAGUAUAGAAGUAUAUAUUGAUGUUGAUUAGGCCGGUGCAGUGGAUGAUAGACGAUCUACAUCUGGUUACUUUACCUUUGUAGGUGGUUAUCUUGUGACAUGGAAAAGUAAGAAGUAGAAUGUCGUCGCUUGUUCAAGUGCAGAAGCGGAAUUUAGAGGUAUGACUCUAGGACUUUGUGAGGCAUUAUGGCUAAGACUCCUCUUACAGGAUUUAGGUUACCUAUCUAGGCAACCAAUCUGAUUGUUUUGUGACAAUAAAGCUGCAUGUGACAUUGCUCAUAAUCCAGUACAACAUGAUCGUACAAAGCAUGUCGAGGUGGAUAAAUUCUUCACUAAGGAAAAGUUGGAUGAUAAGAUUGUGGAAUUGCCUAAGAUUCGAUCAGAAGAUCAAUUGGCCGAUAUCCUCACCAAAACUGUCUCAAGUCAAGUGUUCUCAAAAUUUUUAGAUAAGUUGGGCAUGUGUGACAUCUAUGUACCAACUUGAGGGGGAGUGUUGAGAUAUUAGGAAUGUUUUCCUUAUAUCAUUCUUUCCUUGUAUCAUUUAGUGUUGAGAUAUUAGGAAUGUUUAGAUAUUAGGAAAGUUGAGAUAUUAGAAAUAUUGAGAUAUUAGGAAAGUUGAGAUAUUAGGAUAUUAGUUGUUAUUUCCUUAUAUCAUUCUUUCUUUGUAUCAUUCUUUCCCAUUCUUAGUAUAUACUCUGUACAUGAACGAAUGAAAGAAUGAAUGAAAAAACUACCAUUUAUCAAUUUGAAGACUGGUUUCUGAAAAACUUUCAUCCUUCAAAGUUGUAGAACGGACGCCUAAUUAUAUUCAAACAAUGUGGACUUGUAAAAUGGGAAGCAGUUCUAUUCGACGUGUGAAAUCUAGUGAUGAUUACAAGAAGCUGUGGUGCCAUAAUUCAUCGGCUAUUUGUCAUAUUUGGUUCGGGCUUCAAUCAAGGAAUGCAUUUUCCUGCACCCCAUCCUCAAUGCCAACUUUGGUUGGCAUUAAGGGAAAUUUCGUGUGAACUUUUUUCACACAAAAACUGAAUCCAGUUGGAGGUUAGUUUAAAAUGGGACUUGAUACUGAUUCGGGUUGGCCAAGGCACAGGCUCGUAUCAACCUAUGAAGUUCAUCGACCACAAAGAUCGAAAAUGGAUUCGGUUGCAUUUCUUAACCUGGAAAUUCCUAUUCUAGCAAGGCAUAUCAAAACUGGCGGUUGACAGGUGUGAACAAUGUUGCGGAUGAAUCUUCACUAUGGAUUAUACCUAAAACAUUAUUUAGAAUUUUUUGUUUUUAUUUUUUUAUAUCAAUUCUUUUUUAUAGUGAGACUAAAUCACAUGUAAGAAUUUACA